AAGUCGUAACAAGGUUUCCGUAGGUGAACCUGCGGAAGGAUCAUUACAGAGUUCAUGCCCUCACGGGUAGAUCUCCCACCCUUGAAUAUUAUACCUUAGUUGCUUUGGCAGGCCGUGGAAACACUACGGGCUCCGGCUUGUACGUGCCUGCCAGAGGAAAACAAACUCUGUUUUUAGUGAUGUCUGAGUACUAUAUAAUAGUUAAAACUUUCAACAACGGAUCUCUUGGUUCUGGCAUCGAUGAAGAACGCAGCGAAAUGCGAUAAGUAAUGUGAAUUGCAGAAUUCAGUGAAUCAUCGAAUCUUUGAACGCACAUUGCGCCCCGUGGUAUUCCGCGGGGCAUGCCUGUUCGAGCGUCAUUACAACCCAUCAAGCUCACGCUUGGUCUUGGGGUUUGCGGUCUCGCAUCCCUUAAACACAGUGGCGGUGCCAUUGAGCUCUGAGCGUAGUAAUUUUUUCUCGCUAUAGGGUCUCGGUGGUUACUUGCCAACAACCCCCCAUUCUAUCAGUUUGACCUCGGAUCAGGUAGGGAUACCCGCUGAACUUAAGCAUAUCAAUAAGCGGAGGAAAAGAAACCAACAGGGAUUACCUCAGUAACGGCGAGUGAAGCGGUAACAGCUCAAAUUUGAAAUCUGCCGCAAGGCCGAGUUGUAAUUUGUAGAAGAUGCUUUGGGUAUGGCUCCGGUCUAAGUUCGUUGGAACACGACGUCAUAGAGGGUGAGAAUCCCGUAUGUGACUGGGUGCUUUUGCCUAUGUAAAGCUCUUUCGACGAGUCGAGUUGUUUGGGAAUGCAGCUCUAAAUGGGUGGUAUAUUUCAUCUAAAGCUAAAUAUUGGCCAGAGACCGAUAGCGCACAAGUAGAGUGAUCGAAAGAUGAAAAGCACUUUGGAAAGAGAGUUAAACAGUACGUGAAAUUGUUGAAAGGGAAGCGCUUGCAACCAGACUUGCACGCUGUUGAUCAUCCAGGCUUCUGUUUGGUGCACUCGGCAGUGUUCAGGCCAGCAUCGGUUUUGGUGGUGGGAUAAAGGCCUUGGGAAUGUAGCUUCUUUCGGGGAGUGUUAUAGCCCUCGGUGCAAUGCCGCCUACCGGGACCGAGGACCGCGCUUCGGCUAGGAUGCUGGCGUAAUGGUUGUAAGCGACC
rnacentral:rRNA from 1 species